GAGGCUGCGGUCAUGGAGGGAGCUGGAGCUGGAUCCGGCUUCCGGAAGGUGAGGGCCGGCGGGCAGGGGCUAGGCAGACGCGGACGCUCCGUCCCGACCUCACGCGUGACACCGUGAGGGCCAGACGCCAGCCCCCGCGCCGCCCCCUGUGCCUUUGAGGUUGGGCCCGUUCUCGGACUCCAUCUCCGGCCGGGCCGCGCGCCCCGCGCCCUCCUGGGCUGGUGUCUCGCAGCUGGAGCUGGUGAGCAGGCUGCUGCACCUGCACUUCAAGGAUGACAAGACCAAAGAAGCAGCAGUCCGCGGCGUGCGGCAGGCCCAGGCAGAAGACGCGCUCCGUGUGGACGUGGACCAGCUGGAGAAGGUGCUUCCGCAGCUGGUGCGUGAGCGUGGGUCGGGGCGCAAGUGGGGGUGCCCGGCUGGCUGGCCCUAAGUGCUUCUCUCCCCCACAGCUCCUGGACUUCUAGGGAUCUCAGCCGUGGCUGAGGCCACCCCCAGAGGAGCCCCUGGUCCACAGAAGCAGGCCUUGUGUUUCCAGCGGCCUCUGAUAACAGGCAGGGAAGGACCUGAAGGAUUUGGAGUUGAUUCAAACAAGAUCUCUGGGAGUCUCCAGCCUGUGCAGAAGGGGCAGGACUGCAGUGCACUGCGGGCCUUGGAGUGUCCAGUGGGGACACUGGUGUGGGAAGGGGCAGCACCUGGGGAGUCCCUGCCUCUCCUCCCUGGGACAAUAGUGUGCAUGCCACCCGGGGUCCUACAGGCAGGUGCUGGGAAAGGCCUGGCCAGCAGGUAGCCUGUGUGUUUGACAAACAGCAGCUGGCUGCGCUGCCU
rnacentral:sRNA from 1 species